UUAUAAGUGUAUUACAGUAACGAUAAAAGACAUUCUCUGAUUCUCUGAUGAUCCAGAGGAGCGGGGCUGGUGUAAUACCUCUCUGUGCCAGCAGGGGGAGACAACCUUCCACCAGUUCAGAGUCUGGGUUAAAAUGGUUCUGAUGGUUCUGAAGGCUAAGCAGGAUUGAGUCAGAGCCAGCUUCCAGUUUUAUAACAAAUUUAUUUGAAUAGUGGAAUUUUAUUAACAACUAGUUUAUUUUACAACAAGCCAUGAGAGCAGCAGCCUCCUCUGGUCCAGGUGGGUCUCAGCUGAUCAGCAGGUAUCAGGGUUUCUCUCAGUGAUAUAAAACAAAAACAUGAUGAUUAAUCUGACCCGAUCCACCAGCAGAACCGGCUCAGGGUUCUGUGUUCUGGAUCCAGCUGGAUGGGUCCCCAUAACACAGGUAUGGUCCACAUGUCUGCUCAGCCUCAUGUAGCAGGUAAACCGUCCAACACCCAGGUCCCAUGGCUGGUUCUGGACCGUUAACUGGGAACUGUGGGUAAUGUAGUCUGGCAGAAAGCUAAUGUAGGCCAGAACACUGACGCUGGUGGAGGCUGGACUACAGAAAGACUUGAAAUGAGACAUAAUAGCUAAAAUUACAUGGAGCCUGGGUCCUUCAGCCCAAACAGAAGAGCAUUAUGGGUGUUUGAGUCCAAAGUGUGCUAGGAGCUGCUCUGCAAACAGGAGGAUGAUGGGUGCUGUAGUCCAAGACAGAACAGCAUGAUGGGUGCUGUAGUCCAAGACAGAAGAAGAUGGAGGUGUUUUAGUCGGUUAUGUGGAGGAUAGCAGACAUUAUAGUCCAAGCAGAGGGGGGUGCUGGGUCUUGUAGUCCAAACAGAGGAGGCAGACGCUGCCUGACAUUCGUCCUUGGUAGUCAGAAUUUCUGACCUCCGAGUUGGAAAUGUCAACUGGAACGGCCUCUAAAGUGGGAAUUACGGGUCAGACCCGACUUCCUCUUCAUGAUGGCUGCUUCUUUUAGCCACGUUGAGUAAACUUCAUACUUUGACUGUUUUUAGCAGUUCUUUGGGCAUUUAGUCAGGUGGUACUUCUCAGUGUUCUUGGACGAGAUGUUUCAGCUCUGUUAAUUUGCAUGAACACCGUGUAGAAGCGUUAUAGUUUUAACUACAGUAGCCAUAUUUGUGGCUAAACGGGCAAAACAUAUAACAAUUUUAAAGUGUGACAUUCUAAAAUUCAGCUGGGCUGUAUUUGUAUGUUUAAUAAUGGCUUCUAAGCGUUUUUCCUGCUGUCUGACAAACUUAAAGCCCAAAAAGACAGAGAAGACGUAAUCUGGAACUUGUUAGUUUGAGUUCGGAGACAAAUGGAGCGCAGCAAGAGUCCAAAAAGAGAUCCUGGUAGAUUUUAAAGUCCACACGGAAAGAGGAGGCUGGGUGUUGUAGUUCAAGAAGAGAGAGAUGAGUGUUGGGGUGAACACAGAGGAGCGCUGUAGGUUUUGUAGUCCAAAGGAGAGCGGGUUCUAAGCAGAACCUGGCUUGGGCCCUCCUGCUGAUACGAACAGCAGAACCAGCACUGUUUCAGUACAGAUUAUCUGGGAGAGAGGCCCUCUUUAAUCAGCUGAGCUUAAAGUAAUCAGGGAUAAUUAUCAUUUGCUGAAAUGUAUUCAUGAACAAAAUGAGCUCAAAUACAAAGAAAAGUUUAAAGUUGCAUCAGAUUGUAACUAUGGCAACACAACAAGUUUACUAUGAAUAUUAAUAUCACUUUUACAAAGCAGAUGUGUUGAUCAUUUAAAUCUUACAUUUUAAACGAUUUAAAAUAUUUUAUUUCAUUUCUGCUGAAACAGAAUCAAAUUUAAAAUAUUUUCAAAAAAACAGACAUAAAAUUUCAGAUCUGGUUUCAAAUUCAGCCGUUGAUGGGAGGCCCCUGGUGGUUCAGGAGCCCCGAGGCUUUGCUUCUGGCUUGGGCAAGGCUCUAAGAGGAGGCUUGUGGGUGUUGUAGUCCUUGUGGAGGAGAAACGCAGGUUUUGUAGUCCAUAUUGAGUAGGAUGUGGGUGUUGUAGUCCUUAGUCCUGCUGAAUGUUGGAGUUGUAGUCCUUAUGGAGGGUUGUGGGUGUUGUAGUCCAAAUUAAGGAUGAAUGUGGGAGUUGUAGUCCUUAUUGAAGAGGAAUGGAGGUUUUGUAGUCCUUUUGGAGGAGGAUUAUGGGUGUUGUAGUCCAUAUUAAGGAUUCAUGUAGGUGUUGUGGUCCUUAUUGAGGAGGAAUGCAAGUUUUGUGGUCCAUAUUGAAGAUGAAUGUGGGAGUUGUAGUCUUUAUUGAAGAGGAAUGGAGGUUUUGUAGUCCUUUUGGAGGAGGAUUAUGGGUGUUGU